CAGGUCGAAGGUGUUAUUCUCACCAACAGAUUGCAUCAAUUCGUGGUGAUUACUCAAAUCCCCAAAAAGUUCAAUUCGGAUAUUGAUCAUCAAAAUGGUGUCACCUCUGACAAGUACAAAGCUUGGAUCAUACAAGAUCAAGCUUUUUUUAUCUGGCUUCUUUGCAUCAUCUCUGAAUCAGUCCUUCCUCGAGUUCUCUCGUGCAAACACUUGUUUGAAGUUUUGGACAGAGCUCACAAGCACUUCAAUGCGAUGAUGAAGGCUAAGGUUUGUCAAUUUCACUCUGAACUCAAGAAUGCGAAGAAGGCGAAUCAAAACGUGUCUGAAUAUGUCCUCAAAAUCAAGUCAAUUGCAUAUUCUCUACUUGUUGUAGGUGAUGUCGUCAAAGAAGAGGCAUAA